rnacentral:rRNA from 1 species
UACGUAGGCAGCGAGCGUUGUUCGGAGUUACUGGGCGUAAAGCGUGCGUAGGCGGGUCUUUAAGUCAGGGGUGAAAUCCUGGAGCUCAACUCCAGAACUGCCUUUGAUACUGAGGAUCUUGAGUACGGGAGAGGUGAGUGGAACUGCGAGUGUAGAGGUGAAAUUCGUAGAUAUUCGCAAGAACACCAGUGGCGAAGGCGGCUCACUGGCCCGUUACUGACGCUGAGGCACGAAAGCGUGGGGAGCAAACAGG